CAAAUGACUCUCGGCAAUGGAUAUCUCGGCUCUUGCAUCGAUGAAGAACGUAGUGAAAUGCGAUACUUGGUGUGAAUUGCAGAAUCUCGUGAACCAUUGAGUCUUUGAACGCAAGUUGUGCCCGAGGCUUUGUGGCCGAGGGCACGCCUGCUUGGGCGUCAUG
rnacentral:rRNA from 1 species